rnacentral:rRNA from 1 species
GCUUGCUCUUAUGAAGUUAGCGGCGGACGGGUGAGUAACACGUGGGUAACCUGCCCAUAAGACUGGGAUAACUCCGGGAAACCGGGGCUAAUACCGGAUAAUAUUUUGAACCGCAUGGUUCGAAAUUGAAAGGCGGCUUCGGCUGUCACUUAUGGAUGGACCCGCGUCGCAUUAGCUAGUUGGUGAGGUAACGGCUCACCAAGGCAACGAUGCGUAGCCGACCUGAGAGGGUGAUCGGCCACACUGGGACUGAGACACGGCCCAGACUCCUACGGGAGGCAGCAGUAGGGAAUCUUCCGCAAUGGACGAAAGUCUGACGGAGCAACGCCGCGUGAGUGAUGAAGGCUUUCGGGUCGUAAAACUCUGUUGUUAGGGAAGAACAAGUGCUAGUUGAAUAAGCUGGCACCUUGACGGUACCUAACCAGAAAGCCACGGCUAACUACGUGCCAGCAGCCGCGGUAAUACGUAGGUGGCAAGCGUUAUCCGGAAUUAUUGGGCGUAAAGCGCGCGCAGGUGGUUUCUUAAGUCUGAUGUGAAAGCCCACGGCUCAACCGUGGAGGGUCAUUGGAAACUGGGAGACUUGAGUGCAGAAGAGGAAAGUGGAAUUCCAUGUGUAGCGGUGAAAUGCGUAGA